UGGUUUAUGGACUUAACUUCA
rnacentral:piRNA from 1 species